rnacentral:misc_RNA from 1 species
GGCAACUGUUCCCAGGUGAUUCCAAUAUUUGAGAGCCCUUAUCGAUGUUAUGCUGGUACUUUGUCACAAAACCACUUUCUUUCAAGUCCAUUGAAGAAUUAGCAUCUUUCCAAAAGGAAAGGUUACGAUUAAUUGGAUUCUGUUGCCUGCUUCCUAGGUCAUCUCUUAAACUGCUAGCAUUAGCUACUGCAGCAUUAUUUAUUAAAUUAGAACCUUCAUU